AUCAGUGAACCUCUUGCGUGUCUCUCACUCUCCAUUAUAUCAGCGCUUUGAGUUGUUAUAUAACGAGCUAGAGUGAUUCUCCUCACAGGGGCGUCGGACUGGGGGGGUAAAGGGUACCGAGUACCCAGGGCCCGAGGCAGGGGGGGGGCCCUUAGAAGUCAGUUUUCUAUACAUACAUAUACAUGCACUAACAUUUGUAUAGCAUUUAUGUACAAAUAAAAAAGUUCCUGUGCAAAACUAAACUUGUAGUUAGGGCCCCACCACCCCUCUCGAAUCAAUGUAAAUGGUACGACCCGCAGGUCAGGUGCUUCUGCUGCGGACCUGCGGUGAAAUUGAAUCAGUUAAUGAGACAGGAGCUGGAGUUAGCCGUGAUAUGAACUAGGAAGACAGGGGAAGAGUCAUGUCUUUCCUUAAGAAAGGAAAAUCGGGGCUCAAAAAAACGAAAAAGGAAAAGAAGAUUAAAGAGAGAAAGGCAAAUGAGGGCAAGCAGUUGCUCACUCAGAUUUUUGAAAAGAAAGGGAGUGAGAAGCAGACGGAGGCGGAGCUGGGAGCUCAACACACUGCCACUCCAGGCAGCUGCGCAGCUGGUCUCCUCUUCUGCUGCAGUUCUCCCCAGAGUCAGAAGUUUACAUGAAAACACUGUAUAUUUCCCUCCAUUGUCCAAAUCUAACACCCGCGAAAACACAGAUCGUUAGCGCCUAUUUUACCGCAUUGUUAUGCAAAUUAGUUCGCGCACGCUCUUACAUUAAGUACAGGAUUGUUCUCAGUUUAAUGCACAUCUUAAUGAUUGAAAAUGACUUACAGUAUUUUAAAACGUAAUUCAAAGACUGAAUGUCUAGUUUGGCGGUUAGUGUACCCUGUGAUUCUAUAGUCUGCAUUUAUUUUAAACAGACAAAUAAUCAGCAAUUAACUUGUACUUAGCCUACACUUUAAAAAAGGUAUUGUGACAAUAAAGGAUAUUUUAGCAACCAUUUGAAGGCAUAUAUUUCAGUUUCAGACCCUGCAGCAGCAGGCCCCUCAUCAUGGCCAGGUGAAAGCAGUGACAGUGAGACAAGGUGAGCUUAAAUGUUAAGAGGAAAUAAGGCAAAAUAGGUACAUUGUUAUUGUACACAUUUAAACUUUAAAGGAAUAGUUCACCCAAAAAUGAAAAUUCUGUCAUCAUUUUUCUCUCCCUCAAGUUGUUCCAAACCUGUAUGAUUUUCCUGUAUGAUUUUCCUUUCUUCUGCUAAACACAAAAGAAGAUAUUUUAAAGAAGGUUGGUAAUUAAACAGUUGCAUCAGUCGUUUGGUUACCGACUUUCUUCAAAAUAUCUUCUUUUGUGUUCAGCAGAAGAAAGAAAGUCAUACAGGUUUGGAACAACUUGAGGGAGAGAAAAAUGAUGACAGAAUUUUCAUUUUUGGGUGAACUAUUCCUUUAAACUGUAAUUACU
ensembl:lncRNA